rnacentral:RNase_P_RNA from 1 species
UCAGUCGGCCGGACGGCCGCUCCGGCAAGUGUCGAAAGGCCGCCGGGGAGGAAAGUCCGGGCUCCCUUGACAUGCGGUGCCGGAUAACGUCCGGCGGGGGCGACCCCAGGGAAAGUGCCACAGAGAACGAACCGCCCCGCCGUCGCCCUUCGGGGCUCAGGCGAGGCAAGGGUGAAAAGGUGCGGUAAGAGCGCACCGCGGUUCCGGCAACGGAGCCGGCAUGGCAAACCCCACCGGGAGCAAAACCGAAUAGGGACGGCUUGAGCGGGCUGUUCGCGAAAGCGAUAACGCCGCGGGGCGAUGUCAGGCCCGCCGUCCGGGUAGGUUGCUCGAGGCCAUGUGCAAACAUGGCCCCAGAGGAAUGGCCGUCACGUAUCGCUUGCGCAAGCUGGCGGUGCCCUACAGAACCCGGCUUACAGGCCGGCUGAUAUC